AUACGUAGGGGGCGAGCGUUGUCCGGAGUGAUUGGGCGUAAAGGGCGCGUAGGCGGCUUUGCAAGUCAGUAGUGGAAGUCCAUUUUUCAAGGAUGGAAGUGCUACAGAAACUGCGGAGCUUGAGUGCAGGAGAGGUUAUCGGAAUUCCCGGUGUAGCGGUGAAAUGCGUAGAGAUCGGGAGGAACACCAGUGGCGAAGGCGGGUAACUGGACUGCAACUGACGCUGAGGCGCGAAAGUGUGGGGAGCAAACAGGAUUAGAUACCCUGGUAGUCCACACUGUAAACGAUGAAUGCUAGGUGUAGGAGGUAUCGACCCCUUCUGUGCCGCAGUAAACACAGUAAGCAUUCCGCCUGGGGAGUACGGUCGCAAGAUUAAAACUCAAAUGAAUUGACGGGG
rnacentral:rRNA from 1 species